rnacentral:lncRNA from 1 species
UUAACUUAUUCAUAUUAAUAUUAAAUCCUUGCGUUUUUUUUUAAGAAGAAAUGUGUAUAUAUUAAUGUGCAGGUAUAUUUUAUUAGGCGCAAGUUUAAGAAAGUAAAAAAAAAGAAAUCAAGUUAAACCUAGGUUAACAUAUUAUUAUUAAGUAUACAUAUAUAUUUAAAAAAAAAAAAAAAAAAAAAAAAAAAAAAAAAAAAAAAAAAAAAAAAAAAAAAAAAAAAAAAAAAAAAGUAGAAUUUGAAACAAAACAUAACAUCCCGACUAGCUUAAAAACGGAUGAGAGAUAUAUACAACUAACUUUAAGUGACAGUGAAAAAUGUAAAUUAUAUAAACAAUUUAUUAAUAAUUAUAUAAAUUUAAAGAGAGAAACAUUAUACAAAUUGUUAAACGAAUUAUCAAUAAAUUAUAUGAACAAGUCAUACGAAGAUAUAUUAAAAAUUGUAGAUCAAAAUAAUAAUAUUUUUAAAGGAAUAAAACGUAAAUAUUUAGAAGACAUUUAUAUAAAAUGGACAAAUAAUAAUAUAAAAGAAGCCAAGAAAUUAUUUAAAAAUUUUUUAGUAUUAUCAAGAUAUAUUAAAUAUGACUCGGAUAAGGGAGACAAAUACAAACAGCUACUUCAUAUUUUAUCCCAAGACAUAAGGUAAUUAAUAACAUUUCUCCUUAGUUAAUUAACUAUAGCUAUGGAUAUUAAAAAAAAAAAAAAAAACACUUUUAGCAUAACAUAUGUUAACGUAUUUAUAUAUGUAACGUAUUUAUAUAUGUA